rnacentral:lncRNA from 1 species
CAGCAUCACCUCCUCCCGCAUUGAUACGUGGAAGCCCGCGCCCUGCACCCUUCCGAGGAAGGUGGAGCUUUCGUCGGGGCCGACCCUCAGCACGGUGUCGUAGAUCUCGAUGUUCCCGAAGGUGUAGGGGAGGCUCAUGUUCACCACGGUGACGGUGGUGUUGUCGGGACCGAUAAAGGUCUCGUGGAAGUAGACGCGGAAGUGGAUUCUCUUCUGGAUGCCGAGUUCGAACUCGGAGGUGACCGGGAAGGCCGUGGCAGCAGCCUGGAGGAGGAAGAAGACGAGGAGGAAGUAGAGAUGAGUGGAGCUGUGUGGGGAUGAAGCCAUGGCUAGGAUGACACAAGGAUCGAAGUGAGGUGGGUACAACGCUGGAUCAGGAACAUGUGUUUAUAGAGUAAUGUCUGCGCCAUGCGUCGUUGACAAAUACCAACUUUCAUAAACAUGUAAACACCAUGCCACACGGAGAUGGAAGAUGGAAGAUGGAAGUAAUAUAGAUAAUCUUGAGCAAUGAAGAUGGAUAACUGAGAGAUCGAUGAUAGUUGCAAGCAGUGGCCAAUGAGGAUAGUGUUGCGUCUUCUGCUAGUGUCAACUGGCCACAUGUAACUCAUGAAUUUGUCUUUUUCUUAACCAACCACAUCGUUCGAUGAUAGUUGCAAACGUUGACAUAAUGCAUGUCAACGUUUCCAUGUGAAUAACACCCACAUAAUCCUUCACCUAUCAAAGGUGUGAUCGGUUGACAAAGUUCAUCAUUAUUAUGUAAGGUACAUUUAUAUUAGAGGAUCGUCAAAUGCCAGUGCAUGUCAUGGUACUUUUCAAUGUGCAUAAUUGACACAAACUGUGUGGAAUCUCUCCCUCUUACUUGCCCCUUCACACAAUGCAUUUCUUUAUCAACAUAUGUUUGCUUCACCUGAGUCAACUGUUCAUGUGAUCCACACUAAAGCCUCCGUCGGUUCAGCAAAAUCGGCUAAUUGUCGUUACUUAAUGUUGAAAAUUGAUAACAAGUCUUUGUAAGACUAUCAAUUAAGAAUUUUGCACAUUUAGUCUCAAGUUGAUUAGAGAUUUAAAGAGUCAAUAGCUAAUGAAGAAUCAAAUAUCUUGAAAGGCAAAGAACCGGUCCUACUUAACAAUUUAUUAACAUUAAAAGAGCUCAAGAUUAAUGUUUUUUUUUAUUGAGGUAAAUAAUUUGUGAAAAAUAAGAGUAUUAUUUUAGACAAAAUAAGUAGUAAAAAAGAGGAUCAAAUUGAUUAACGAAACGUGGCAUGUCCACGAAUCUUAAAGCAUCAGAUUGCAUCAGUAACUAGCGACCACCAAAGCAGUCUCCACGGUGAGAAGGGGGAAAUGACGAUGUGAAGAAUCGCAGAGGCGGCUCUCCUCUUUGUCCUCCUCGGUGGCAACGAGCGCGAUUUGGUGAUCAAGGUCCGAUCACUUACGAUCCCUUCUCGUCCAAUUUUCCCAAUCUUGGUUAGAGUUUUAAUUUGAUGGAGUGCUUGACGCCGUCUUGUAGUUUUGAUGUCAAUUUCUUGGUGCGAUCUACUGUUCGAUCAGAAUCUUUGAUGGGUCCUAGCCGAUGAUCAUGCAACCUAGUUGCUCUAUGAUCAACGAAAACGAAACCUAAUAUUAUAGUUUCUUUUUCCUCUCAGUUUAGAUUCACUUCUUCCCCUUGAUCACGCAAGUAGUCGAAGCUUAACUGCAGGAAUUGUUCGAGUUUUUUUCACGUAUUUGAGCUUUUUGUGUCGUAACCUACUACGUUUUCUUGAUUUUAGACUGAACUAGGCUUUGCACUUGGUUGCUAUAUAUGCAUUCAAGAUAAUACUCUUGCCAUCAAAUCAUUGAAUUAUGUGGGGAUUAUUCAUCGAACAGAUUCCCUUUAAGUCGCAUAGUCUUUUGUUCCUUUCCCUGGUUCUGUUGCUUGUUGCAUAUCUUAAGUACAUUACUGUUUCCUAUGUCUGCAUCUCAUGUAUUUCACGUUAUCCAAGCAAGAAAUUUGUCAGAUGUGCAUGAUGUUCAACCAAUUGAUCUAAUAAACGCCAACUUUAUCUACACAUCAAUUGAAAGAAAAGAACAUCUUAUCAUUAUUCCAGUUUCACAGCUAGAAAGUAGUGAUGCAUCUGAAACUGUAGCUGUAUGUGAAAAUUUCGGCAAGUCAGGUAAAAGAAGUAAGUAUUAAGAAGGAAAUGUAUUGGUACCCCUUCCAAUAAGGAGAUAAUAGUUAAACAAGUUGCUAUCGAUUAAACUUAUGGGUCAUAUAAUUUAGACCUUUUUAGGUCUCGUCUACAUUGUUAGUUGUUAUCAAGGAAGUAACUAGCAAUUUAUUGUGAUUCAUGAAUUCCUUUGCAUAGGAUGGAUUUAAUAAUGUUGCAUGAGUAAGGCUUUCUGCAUUAUGGCAUGGCUCAUGUUGAUAAUAUGCGGGCACAUAAAAACUACUGUAAGGGUCUACUUACAGAACCUUAUAGGAAGAUGUUUUGGAUAAUGGCUACAUGCAAUUAGUGGUGUUAAGGAAGGGACCUAUUUUUGGGUUGAUUACAUUGUAACAUUGCAGUGCCUUUAAAUUAGUAAGCUGCAAUAUAGAGAUUAAUAAGGGAACGUUGUGUACUCUUCUGAACCAAAUGAUGUUGUAUUUCUUCUUAUUUGGAGGUUUCAAGUUUCUUGAUUGAGUUUCAUUUUGUUGUAGUCUUUAUCUAAAUUUGACUCUUAAAAACCUCGAGUAAUUUAGUGAAUGUUGUUGGAUAAUGCUUCAAUCAUAGUUGGUGUGUUGCCAUCUAUAAUUAACUCCAGAUGACUAGAAGACGGGAGGAACUAAAAGACAAUCAAGUAAAAUGUUGGUAAACAAAACUUAAUAGGUACAAAGGCAUUUUAGUUUUUAGGUUGUUCAUUUAGUUGAUGUCACAUGGAAUAUCAUGUCCACAUCCACAAACUAUGUUUGUUUGUAGAGAGUACCUGUGCCAUUUAUUAGAUUCUACCCAACUAUCAUGUGACAAUAACAAUAUAAAAGGUUGAUUUUUUUAAUAUAUAGCGUCCUCAGAUUUGUCCAAUGAUGCAACUCAAAUUAGAUGAUUUUUGGCGACUUGAAACUUCAAAUACGUCUGCUUGAGUACCAUGGGUGCCAGCAGCAUUAUCUAGGCCAGUUUCACAUCAAUUUUAAGAGUAGCUGGAUGAUGAUAAAUUAAACCAUAUCAUCAAGACUCCUGCUUCUGUGUAUUGUAGUUUUAUUGAUCCUGAUCUUCCAUUAGAAUUUUAAGACUCAUGCAUGCGAAUACAUCAGAACGUCCUUUAAUUGAUGAAUUCUUUACCUCUGUCUUGACGAGCAGUUUCACCAGGAAUCAAACUAAUGGUGCAUGGCCUGAAGAAUGUAUGGGGAUCAAUGCGUGCAGUAGUUUCCACAGCAUGUGAGUUUAUGGUACUAACAUCAAAAGGAGCCGCUGAUGAGAAUAUUGUAGAGCAAAGACUGCUCAAGGAGCUGUGCAAACAUGGCUUUUAAUAAAAUUGACUUGGAUAGGGAGUUUUCUUGGGCUAAAAGAUUAUGACCUGUAGCAGUCCAUGGAUGAGCUUUUUGGUUGUGUAUGAUGAAUAGAUUUUUGCCUUGAGAGCAGAGCUUCAGGUUCUCGUUAGCCUGUAACUCCUUGCUUCUUUUAUCACAUGCUUUAGUGAUCCUCGAUGCCUGCAAGAUUACUGAAACUAAUAUUUGAGAUUGGUAGCCCAAUUUUUUCUCUCUCCAGUGGGUAGUUCAUUUGGUACCCUAUGGACUCGGUAUCUUUCCUUGCUUAUCCCGUAGCAGCAGCGGAAAUUUUGGUAGGAGAAGCUUUAGAUUGACUUUGUUUUCUCCAGUUUGUGGUACAAAUAUCAUUAUCUGAUGUGGUGUCUCUUGAGAUUGAUGUGGCAGGUUCUAAAUCUUACCAGGUAUUAAAGGAUUGUGGAUGUUACUUUUUCUUCUUUUUGAUUCCGUUGAAAUCUUUUGGUAGGUUGUAACUCACAGACGGAGAUUGAGCCGCAGCAAAUUGACUUGAAGAGCAUCAUCAUGGCAGCAACUGGGCUUGGACUUGUUUGAGGGAAGGUCACUUGGACUGGUAUGCUACUUAGCCCAAUCCAAUUGUUUGGUUACCGCAAAGCUCACUGGUUCAACAGAGAUGCAUACUAUUUCACGAGGGAUUACCUUGUUUAACUUUUGCUCCUAAGCCAUACAACACCAACGCUAACAGCUGAAGAAGAAUAUUUGGGAGUCUCAAUUAGAUCUUACAGAUCGUGUUCUCCCCUUCUGCUGCUUAGGAGGAUGGCGACGAAGCUGAGGCCAGCGCAGCCGCCGGUGACGAGGUUGCCCUCGCGGACGAGGAUCUUGAGGGCGACGGCGCUGAUGUCGGCGGUGAUCCGCCGCCCCUCCAUCACCAGCGCCCGCCACGGCUUCCCGGCGAAGGCGAGCAGCACCAGGACGGUGCAGCACGUGACCAGCGUCGCUGGCACCGCCACCGGUAGCGCUGCCCCCACGGACAACAUCCCGAACAACUCUCCGUACUGAUUGUGUAAAUGUAAAGACAAAGUUUGAUUGAAGCUUAUUAACAUGUUCCCUGGGGGGAGGAUUUUCAGAGCAGUGAGAUUUCCUCGUGCAAUCGGAGAAAUCUUAUUUGCUAUCACAUACAGCACCGACGUAUACAACCUCGACGACCAUGAUGAUGAGGAGGACGAGGAGGAGGCGACGAUGUUGUACCAGGAAUGGAUGGCAAGGAGGAGGCCCCAGGAGCAAUGAAGGAGGAGGGUGUAGAAGAGGAGAAAGAGGUAGACCCAUGUCCGCCUCUUGUUCGUAACUCUGGUAUGUCCGCGGUCGCCCUUGGAUGCUUGUUUCUCAUGGCCAGUGCUGCAGUUGCUGUUGCAGAAGAAGUGGAUGUGUAGCAGAAGCAAAAGUAAGUCCAACUCUGCUUGUGUCUCUGAGUUUCCCACCUUAGUCAAGCCAGCUGAAUAGCCUACUCACUUUUUUUAAUUUUUAUUAUUGUUUUAUCAUUUUUUAGAUGAAUGAUAAUAUUUAUAUAUGAAAAGAUAUUUUAUCUCAUUAUUUUACUUAAUAUUUUAAUAUUUAUAUCGAUAUUGGACUAACGGGAGAUGCCUUGCUCGGAUAGAAUAUAUCUAAGGGGGGAUAUAUAUAACUGAUAAGGGUAAUAAUUGUAAUAAGACUCACGUGACAUCAGCUGCAUCAGGUGACGCAUCACGCCUCUGUUGACUUGAUGAGGCACCUGGUCAACGUGGAUCGGAACGCCUACCAAGGCGCAUUAACGCUCUGUUCAGGUUCGAUCCCUCACGCCACGCCAACGGCAACGUUAGACGCUACCAGAAGUACGGUCCCGCUCCCUGCGGGCCAGCACAUUAGACAACGGUAAUUAUCACUAUAAAAACCCUCGCACUCUGAAGGGAAAAAAAGGGGGGGAGGGAAGGGAGAAAUCCCCUAGGACCAUCCACUAACUUGAUCGUCAGAGGGAUCGGGUCGAGCUCCCCGACCCGACCUUUGUGUAGGUGCGAAGGCGGAGGUCGUCCACCAAAGGCGCAGGCGGGGGUUCCCUCCCGGUGAAAACAGCGACCUCGUCCCAAUCGGAACACCGUGAUCGGCCACCUUAGCAGUCGGGAGGAGCGUCCCAGGAAGAUCCCCGUCAUCCGGACCCGAACCAAACCGCGUCGGUCCCGAUGCCACGGCUUAAAGUUGUUCACACUAACACUAACAUUUCGAUGUUUGUAUUAUGUUGGGACAUUUUUUUUUCGGUGAGAUAGUGAGUUGAGUAUUUUUUAUCCGAUCAAAAAGUUAUUUGAUAUAUUUAUAUUAUUGGGAUCAAUAUAGUAUAGAUGGGUCUAAUUUCUCUUACAAAAAAGAAUACCAUGAUUUAAACAUUGGGACUGAAAAAAAAUCUUAUAAGAUGCAAAGUUCAAGCACUAUCUUGGGUGGUCAGGUUGGGAACUCAUUGGAAGCUCUAUUACCACCGAUUAUGUAAGGUUAAAUUAUUUAAUUAGAAAAUAUUUAUUUUGCAUGUCAUAUUGAUGCGAAACAUCAUUAUUUUCAAACUAAUUAUCUCCUAUUUAUAUCGAAUCCAGAUUAAUUAUCCAUUGAAUUGUACCUAAUUUAUAAGGAUUCGCUGAAGGUAAAAUAAGCUUGAGAUAAUAUAUGAGUUCCACCCUUAAAAGAGAUGAUGAUUGAGCAAUUAGUUUAUCCCUCUAACUAUGGAGUAGGUUGGGAAGUCGAUGAAGCUCGAAAGAGAGGAUCCUGAGCAAGCAAUCAACCAACCUCAGUGGUUCUUCACUGAAAGGAGGAAGCAACGUAAGCAACAUCUAUGGAUGAGAGCAUUUUUCAUAUUUUUAAUGGUGGAGAAUCCCCGUUGAUUUGAGUUGAAAGUGUCAACUAGAAAUAAUCAAUAGAUCAUGGUCGCUAAUAUCAAGUUAUCUCCGAUAACAUCAAAAUCUCACUUCAAUAAUAUCUUCCAUUGUAAGAAUCCAACCCACAACAAUUAAAUACAAGAAAUGUGAUAGGGAAAGAGAUCAACUUCAAAAUCUCUAUGAGAAUGAUCGUUAGAUUUAAUAUUAUACUGGAUAGUAAUUGUAAUACCCCAAUUAGAAGUGAUAUGGUGAUAAUUGUCCAUCAGGACUUCUUUUAUAUUCUCAUAAAACUUUUCAUUAACUCAAGCAAAGUUCUUCAUGAUGUAUCACAUGUUAUGAAUAGUAUAUAUAAAUAGGGGAUCGAUACAUGAACCACCAUAUAUUGGGAGGUACAUAUUACAUGACCCUAUAUUAGACAAUACAGGAUCUAUACCAAUUGGUAUUGAUUGAAAUCCAAUCAUUAUAAAUUUGUGCUGACAAUUAUAUUGGGAGGUUACAAUUGCUUUAUUUUAAAUGAUCAAUUUGAUUGUUUGAACUAUAGAGAAGGGGUUUUAAACCCUUUCUUCUCUCCUUUUUCUACCAAUUUCACUCAAUCUUUUCAACUCUUUCUCACUUAUAUCUUUUUCUCAUUGUCAUGUUUUCACUCUCUUAAACUCAUCAUAACUAUAAUUCAUGGAUUAGAACAAAUGUGAGAGGCUAAUUUAGAAGGAUUACAAGAAGAAUAUUUUGAUCGAGAGGUAUAUAUUAUCAUUCUAGAUUUUUAUUUAUAUAUGAGAUGAUUAAGCCUAUUCUAUGUUUAUUUAUACAAUUUGAUGGUGAUGUAUCUAGAGGAGCAAUCUUUUACACUUGUCAUCUAGAUUCAGGCUCGAUAAUGUACUAGUUAAAUUUACACUAUGCCAUAAUGGGGGUUGAGGAGGAGGAUGCGACAUGAUGACAUUUACUGAUGAGAGCUUCUUUCAUAUUCUUAAUAGUGGAGAAUCUCUCGUUGACUUGAGUUUAAAAUGUCAACAAUAAAGACUCCGCUAAUAUCAAGUUAUCUCUAAUAACAUCAAAAUCUCACUUCAAUAAUAUGUAAAAAUCCAACCCAAGACAAUCGAAUAUAAGAAAUGAGAUUGGAAGGAGUUUGACUUCAAAAUCUCUAUAGAAAUGAUGUUAGAUUUAAUACUAAACUAGAUAGUAAUUGUAACACCCCAAUUGGAAACAAUGUGGCAACAAUCAUUGGCAAGGGCUUCUUUCAUAUUCUUAAGGUGGAGAACCUCCUAUUAAAUCAAGUAAGAUUCAUUGUACCAUGAUAUACCAUCUGAGACAAAUGAUACAUAUCAUUCUGACAAGGGAUUAGCAUGCGAACAGUCAUAUAUCGGGUGGUACACAUUACAUGAUUCUAUAUCGGAUGAUACGUGAUCUAUACCGAUCGAUAACGAUUGAAAUUUAAUUAUUACUGACUUGUACCAAUCGGUAACAAUUGAAUUUUGAUCGUUAUCAAUCAAGAGCUAAGAUUGUCUUAUUUUAAAUGAUCAAUUUGACUAUUUAAACUAUAAAAAAUAUUUUUAUAUCCUUUCCUCUCCCCACUCUUUCAACCCAUUUCACUCGAUCUUUUUAACUUUUUCAAACUCUUCUCACUCACAUCUUUUAUCUCAUUCUUAUAUUUUUACUUUCUUAAACUCAACAAAGCUAUAAUUAUAUAUUAAAUCAAAUAUAAGAUGUUAAUUUGAGAGGAUUAAAAAGAAUAACACUUUAAUUAAGAUAUAUAUAUAUAUAUAUUUCUUUUUAAAUUUUAUAUUUAUAUAUAAGAUAAUUAAGCUUAUUCUAUGUGGUCAUGUCUAUACAAUUUUAUACUUGUCACCCAAGAUUUAGAUCAUGAAACUCGACGAAAUACUAGUUAAGUUUAUACACGGGAGGGAAGGGAAAAACAAUGGAUGAUUUUGAAUAGAUGUGAUAGAGUAUACAUGACAUAGAUAUAGAUCAAACCUCGUCAUAUUCACAACCAUUGUAUUGUGAAGAAUCUUAAGACUAAUAGUAGUAUGAUGAUAGUUGAUUAUUCUUUUCCAAGUAGUAGUAUGAUGAUCAAUCUUAUGAUAUAGAGCAACAGAUCAGUGACGAAAGUAAAAGUUUAAACAUUCAUAAUGCUCCAUACUAAUAUAUGUCAUAAUUGUCCUUGCCUCAGGAGCCAUCUACGUGGUUCAUGACGAUCAACUUAUAACCAUCACAACAUUGAUGUACCAUUAACAUACGAUGUAUGUAACACCCUACUUCUACCCUACAUGUAUAACUAAAAUAUGAUGUCAUAUUUUAAAUUUUUAUUACUGCUAUCAAUAGGAGAGUAGUGAAAGUAGAUAAUCUUAAAAUUAAAACAUGCUAACUUACUUAACAAAAUGAUAGGAUUUCUCCUAUAUAUAGUAUUUUGGACAUUUAUACAUAAUUAUAGCCUCUAACUAAGAGAAAAACAUAAAUAUAACAAGUCCAAAAUUUAUACACACAAAACACCUACAGAACAUCAUGCAUAUCUAAGCUGGUAUAGGCUUGCAUAUACUCACUGCUCUACCCAAUCACUUGGGUGGGGUAUUAGUAAUGAGUACACUCAAUAAGUAUAAGCCCUUAUAGCUUUAUUUAGGUAGCAUAUAUCAUAUCAUAUAUGUAAUAUUUUAAAAUUAUUGGCGUAAGACAUUUAAUGGAAAACUCCCUUAUCAUAUAACUUCUUUAGUAAACAUAAUCCCACAACAUAGCAUAUAUAAAAUAAAGAGUUAAAGUUCUACUUCAAAAUAAUUCAAAAUGCUUAUAUGCAAAUAUAGGAAGUAUAAUAAAUUCAUUGACUUCUAUGCCCUACAUCAUAAUAUAUAUUUGCAUUCCCAUAUCAUAUGUUAUUAUAAUAUAUACGUGCACUCUCACACUACACGUCAUAAUAUUUACAUACACUCCCACAUUAUACAUCAUAGCAUAUACGUGCAUUACAUAUCAUAAUAUAUUCGUGUACUCACGUACCAUACAUCAUAGAAAAUAUAUACACUCUCAUACCAUAUGUCAUCAUAUAUGUAUACGUAUAUGAUAUUUUUAUCAUAAUUCAUAUAUUUUUAGACUUACAAAAUAUAUACAUUCAUAUUUAACUAAUGCUUUGCUCAUGACAAUCCUAUCAUUCGAAAUAUAAUUUUUAAAUUGUAUUAUACAUAUGACACCAUUAUUUUAUAGUAAAUUAAACUUAUACUUAAUUAAACUUAAAAAUAAAGAUAUUAAUAAAAAAUCAAGUUCUUUAAUAGUCGAAUGUAUUAGGGAGUGAUACUCCUUGGAGCAAAAGGUCAUGAGAUGUUUUAAUUAAUAAUCCUACCUCUUGAAUUAUUGAUUUAUAAUAAUUUAUAAUAAUAAUUCAUAAAAAAAAAAUUGAUAAAAAUCUCUUAUAAAAUAAAUUAUACUCAUCCUAAUAAUAUAUGAAGUUAUUCCUUCUCCAUGGUAGCUAAAAUUCAAAUUGAAUUAGUGUCGAAAGAUUAGAGAUCCAUGGCAAAGUAUGAUGUCGUAAUUACAUAUUAAUUGCGUCAUACAAAAAGGUGAAACAUCGUUUGUGCGUUCUUAUAUUUGCUUCCAUGUAAAAUGCUUUAAUUACAUUAAAUUAUAUGUGACAUUGACACAUAAACACACAGUUUUUAUUUAUUUUAAGAAAAAGAUAAAGUACAAAGUGACAAGUAAUUAUAUGCGACAUUGGCACAUAAACACACAACAGAGAGAGAGAGAGAGAGAGAGAGAGAGAGAGAGGAUAUAUAUAUAUAUAUAUAUANNNNNNNNNNNNNNNNNNNNGAGAGAGAGAGAGAGAGAGAGAGAGAGAGAGAGAGGAUAUAUAUAUAUAUAUAUAUAUAUAAGGCGGAGAUUCUUCGUGUCAUGUAUUAAGCUUCGGUGACAUCUCGAAUCAUGCGAUGGCACUGUGAUGGAGGUCGUUGUAGUAGACGACGUAGACGUCGUAGGCGACGACGAGCUUCGCGACAGAGGACGUCACCGUCUCGGUCACCAGCUUCCCCCAUGCGUACUGGAACACCCCCGUCCCUCCCACGAUGGCCCGCUCCGAGUUCCCGGACGCGUCCAGUCUCCCGAUCACCGUGAGAGUGCUGUUGACGAACUUCCCCGCCGUGAACACCAGCACCAGCGGUACCAGCAUCACCUCCUCCUGCAUUGAUACGUGGAAGCCCGCGCCCUGCACCCUUCCGAGGAAGGUGGAGCUUUCGUCGGGGCCGACCCUCAGCACCGUGUCGUAGAUCUCGAUGUUCCCGAAGGUGUAGGGGAGGCUCAUGUUCACCACGGUGACGGUGGUGUUGUCGGGACCGAUAAAGGUCUCGUGGAAGUAGACGCGGAAGUGGAUUCUCUUCUGGAUGCCGAGUUCGAACUCGGAGGUGACCGGGAAGGCCGUGGCAGCAGCCAGGAGGAGGAAGAAGACGAGGAGGUGGUGGAAAAGAGAGGAGCUGUGUGGGGACGACGCCAUGACUAGGGUGGUGGAUGGACAAGGAACGUGAAGUGAGAAGUGAGAUGAGCACAACAAUAAGAGGGAAAGUGUCUUUAUAGAGCAUUGGCUUAUGGCUCUGUCAUCAUCAUACAUAUCAUAUUUAUCACAGGUAAGUAUGAUGUACACAUCAUCAUAUUAAUAUUUAAGAGAUUAAAAUUAAAUAAUAUUUUGAAUCCUUAAUAUUCGAUAAAUAAGUCUUUUAGAUGUAAGAAUAUCUCAAAUAAAUUUUUGAAUAAUCAACCUUUGAUAAGUGGAUCAUCAUUAUAUUUAUACACGGAAAUGAAUCAUUUACAAUUAAUUAGACUUUGACAUGUUAAACUCAAUCAAUUCAUGAACUAUUAUUGAAAAUAUUUAUGGGUAUACGAUUAGAAAAAUAAGCUUAUAUGACUAAGGAUUGAAAGAAUCAGAUAACAUAAUAGUUUAAGUCUUUGGAUUGAAUUAAUAUCUUACUUGAUAUAUAUAUUAACUCUGAUCAAUUUGAUUCAAACUCAUCAAUAGUCAUACAACUAUGACAUGAACAAGCUCUAAAUUGAAGAUUUAUCGGGCAAGCUUAUUGAACUCAUCCAAGAGUCUUAUGGGUGCUAUUCAAAACAAAAUUGGACAAUCGUAUCCUCAUUGAACUUGGAAGAAAUCGACUCGAGCCACGUUAAUUUAGAUAUUGAGGUUGGAUUCCCCUAGUUGGACAUCUUAGUCGAACCUCAAAGUCAAAAGUCAUUCCAUCUUCCAACUAGAGCAACAAGAAUUCGGAAAAAAAUAAUGAACCAAAUCGAGUCAAGUUCGCCGGAUCUAAGUUCGACCGAAUGGUGUAUUUGGAGUCCAUCCUUCCAAUGCGGGGGGAAGAAGAUGGCAUAAAAUGCAAUAAGCGAUGCAUAAUAACACCGGUGGACGCCCGGUGAUUACAGCAUACGGGCUCUCGAUCGGUAGGUGCCUCGCUCUCCGCCUUCAGCAAGCAACGUAGACGUACAGCGACGGCUCUCGGUCGGUAGGUGCCUCGAAUGCAGGUGUCGCUGGGGAGAUGGGUGAUGGAGGUCCAAAAGAUGAGGCCAUUGACAUGAUCGAUGUCGACUGUAAUCUUCUCAUCUUAGGACAAGAUCUUCCACCUCACGGUCUCGUACGUUGCAUGGUGGGUGAACGAGGAGGAAGCCAUCGAUCGGGCGUUGGUUUCCUCCGUACACUUAUCUUUUCUCCAUGCUGUAGCUGUCGGUGAUCACAUUUGUUGCAUGUGAUACACGUUUUCUUUUUUUUUUUUCACCUUUGUCGUGUACUCUAAUUCUGAAAGAACCAUCACUUUCUGAUCACUGUACAUGACUGUGAUUCUUGCACAGUCAUUGAUCUAUUUCUUCUAAUAAUUGACUAUGAUUCUUGCACAAGAGAACUCGUAAAGCAUGAAAAUUUGAUAUUAUUAAUUAAUUUUAAUAAUAAUUUUAUUUUUAAAGUAAACAAAUAAAUUAAAAGAAAAUGGAGAAUUGCAUAUUCUCCACUCUGUUGAUACCCCUAUUUACUUGAGAGGAGACCAAUGUAGUUUCUACAAUCAAGUCAAACUAGAGUCUAAAUCAAAACUAUGUAGACCUCCCUUCCAUCCCUCUAGCUAGGUCUCAUUCGGUGCCAACCGACACCAUCGAAACUUUAGCUCAGUUUGCUUAAAUGUUCAGCUAGUAAACAUACAAACAUAUCACUUUCCAUCAAUAUAAAAGUACAUAUAUAUAUUACAAUAAUAUGUGAUAUGAUAGUACACACAUAUGUUAUGAUAUAAGGCGUAGAAGAUCAUACAUUUUUUAGGCUUCCUACAUGUGCAUAUAAGUAUUUGAAUUAUUUCGAUAUAAAAUUUUACCAUCUUAUUGUAUAUAUAAUGUGUUGUAGGAUUAUUUAUACAUGCUAAAGAAUUUAUAGGAUGAUGUGUCUAUCAUUAAAUACUUUAUGUUAAGGAUUUUAAAAUAUUAUAUACAUGAAAUGAUGUGCUCACAUAAAUAAAACAAUAAAGACUUAUAUUUACUGAGUGAUUAAUCACCGUAGAUCAUAUUUUACAGAUAAAAAUAUUAGUAUCCCACUCAAGUGAUUGUAUAGGGAAGUAAGCACAUGUAAGCCCAUGCUAGCAUAGAUAUGAACGAUGAUUUUUCAACAUUUUAUGUAUAUAAAUUUUGGACAUAUUAUAUUUAUGUUUUUAUUUGGUUAAAUGAUAUAAUCAUGUAUUUAAAACAUUAUGGAUAGGGGAAACCCUAUUAUUUUGUUUAGUAAGUUAGCAUGUUUUAAUUUUAGGAUUGUCAACUUUCCAUUGUAGUCAUAUUGAUAUCAGUAAUUAAAAUUUAAAAUGUAACAUCCUAUAUUAAUUAUACAUGUAAGAUAUGGAAGAAACUAGAAGUAGAGUAUUACAUAUUCAAUGUUCUUGAUAUCGAAUCCAUCUAUGAUAGACUCGGUGAAAGGCUACAGUUACAUCCAAGUCAUCCUUUAAAGAAUCAAAAUAUAUAUUAACAAUUAUGAAAUGUGAAAGAUUUUUUAACUAAUAAAUUAACUAGAAAAAUUGAAUGAACGAAUGAAUGCCAUGUUUAUGGGAGGAAUAGGUACAUGUCAUUUUGUCAAGGCACGUGAUUUAUUUGGAAUUUAAUGUAACUUAUUCGCAUUAUGUUGAUUAUAGUUUGCGACAAAUGUAAAGAUUCCAUAUCAAAAAAUAAAUUCCGAUGUGCAUGUGUUAGAUCCCUUAUGAAACUUAAUUAUUUAUAGAGUGACUUUAACAUAUAGUAAAUAAGUUUGUAUCUAUGUAACUUGGAUGAUCAUAUUGUGAAAUAUACAAAUAAUAUCUCAAGUUAUUCCUUCUCCGUAGUAGCUAAAUUUCAACUACAUUUGGUGUCGAAAGAUUAGAGAUCCAUGACAAAGUAUGAUGUUGUAAUUACAUAUUAAUUGCGUGAUAGAAAAAGGUGAAACAUCGUUUGUGUGUUCUCAUAUUGCUUCCUUGUCCGAUAAUUUAAUCGCAUUAAAUUAUAAGCGACAUUGAUAGGUUGAUGUUCACAAAAACACACAACACUAACAUUAUGACCCAUCGACCAUUUUGUACCCACUUGAUUCAGUUUUUAGAAUUAUAUUUGUCUGUUUCCAAAAAAAAAUAUUUCUUUAUGUAGUACGAAGUAUUUUUUUGAAUUAUAGUAUAUUAUAGUGAAAUUUUUGACAGAUAAGCUCACUCUACAGGAGAUGAGAUUUUUACCUCAUAACACUCAUCGCUUAAUUCUUUCCAAGUAAUUAGAUCCUUUUCAUCAAAGCAUUCAUAAUCUUUUAUAUAUAUAUAUAUAUAUUAUUGAAUUGAGCUGUACAAUAUUAUUUUAGUUGAUCUUAUUAACAACUUUAUAGUGUGGUCCGAUGCAUAAUACUGCUACUAAUCCUAAAUAGGAGAAGAAUAAAUUUACUAUAGUCAUAUAUACCUACAGCUAUGAAAAAUAAAGCAUGUCACCGUACUGUGCUGCAAAAUAUCGAGGUUUGUAAAAGCUUUUCUUUCUCAAUAAUAAGAAGCUUUUCUUUAUUUUAAGAUAAAGAUGGAAGUACAAAGUGACACGUAGAAUAGCAUUUAUUUCAGCCUUUUGUUUUGUCCUUAUUCCAACCGCUGUCUUCAUGGAGUGACACCAUAGCCGGAGUUCUUUUUGUCGUGUAUUAAGCGUCGGUGACGGCAAGGUCUCGCAAUCAUGGGCUGGCACUGCGACCGACGUCGGUGUAGUAGAUGACGUAGACGUCGAAGGCGGCGACGAGGCCCUCGACGGAGGACGUCACCAGCUCGCUCGCCAGCUUUCCCCAUGCGUACUGGAACACCCCCGUUCCACCCACGAUGGCCCGCUCCGCUUUCCCGGACGCGUCCAGUCUACCGAUCGCCGUGAGUGUGCUGUCGGCGAACUCCCCCGCCGUGAACACCAGUACCAGCGGUAUCAGAGACGCCUCCUCCUGCUGCGACAUGUGGAAGCCCGCGCCCUGCGCCCUUCCGACGACCGUCGAGCUAGCGUCGGAGCCGACCCUCAGCACGGCGUCGAAGAUGUCGAUGUCCCCGAAGGUGUAGGGGAGGCUCAUGUUCACCACGGUGACGGUGGUGUUGUCGGGGCCGAGAAAGGUCUCGUGGAAGUAGACGCGGAAGUGGAUUCUCUUCUGGAUGCCGAGUUCGAACUCGGAGGUGACGGGGAAGGCCGUGGCAGCAGCGAAGAGGAGGAAGAAGACGAGGAGGUGGUGGAUAGGAGAGGAGCUGUGUGGGGACGAAGCCAUGACUGGGGUGGUGGAUGGACAAGGAACGUGUUAUACUUGGCAAAGAUUGACAAGUGAGAGGAGCACAAGGCUGGAGGAGGGAGAGCGUAUUUAUAGAGUAUUGGCUAUGUCAUCGUCGUGCAUAUAUCAUAUCUAUCAUAUUAGACGAUAUUUUAGACUCUCUUAAAAAGGUAAGUAUGUAAGCAUCAUCAUAAUAAUAUUUUAGAGAUUAACAUUAGAAAGGAUUUCAAAUCCUCAAUUCAAAGUUGAGUCUUUUAGAUGUAAGAAUACCUCAAACAAAAUUUUUGAAUCAUCAAACAAUAAGUGAAUUUUCAUCAUGUUCAAAGAUUAAAAUGAAUCAUAUACAAUUAAUGAGACUUAGCAUGAUAAAUUUAAGUAAUUAUUAUUGAAAAUAUUUAUGCAUGUGAGAUAAAAAAAGAUGAGCGAAAAGUAAUAUAUGACUAAAGAUUGAAGGAAUCAGAGUACAGAAAGUCGGUUUGACAAGUAACACCACGUUUAGCCUUCCUCUUGAACGCCGGUCUCGUUCCAAAAUCGCCGGACGGACCACUUCGCUCUCCGCCGACAACACGCAACGUGUAGCUUCGCUGGGAUACGGGUGAUGCAGGUCAAAGAAGAUGAAGCCAUCGACAUGAACGAUGUGGACUGUAAUCGUCUCCAUCCUCGUCUUCUCAUCUUAGGACUAUAUCUUCCACCACACCGAAUCAUUCGUUGUAUGGUAGGUGAACAAGGAGGAAAGCCAUCAUCCAUGGGACUGCUUUUGGUUGGUUAAUCCUCACACUAGCUUCUCUCGAUGCUGUACCUGAUGGUGAGGCUUCUUGUGCACGUUUUGUUUCCAAAAAAUCUGUCUAUUUUGUUGAGAAAAUAUUUUCAUCUUAAUCAGUAUAAAUAGGGGGAAAAUAGCUUCAAUGUAAAACAGUUUUUUCAAUAAUUCUUCUUGUCUUCUAUUCUUUCCAACAUGAUAUCAGAGCAAGUGAGAAGAGCGAGACUCCAUGGCCAUCGAAGCCUGUUAUUCACCACAUCUCUUACCUUUGUAGAGCAGAGAAGGGGGUGAACUCUUUUCCAUCGGACUCGCUUCCCUGUCGGACUCCCCUCUCCGUCCGCUGAUACCCCAGUCGCUGUCGUGACCACACCCGGCAUCGCAAUCAUGUGCGACCACAACAACGAGGGCCUGUUUUGGUGCGACUGGCUACUCGCCCUCGGCAGUGGAUCCCUCUCCAACCCUGUCCGCUCCUUCCCUCUUCUCCUCCAUGCGGCUUUCUUCUUCAUCGGCGUCGCCUGCACCGACCCUAAGCUCGGGUUAUCUACCGCCAUAUCAUCAUCUUCAUCAGGUUGUGAUCUAUAUCAAUCGCAGCCUGCUGCCUCGGUGUCAACUGUCGAUCCUUAGCUCCUACUAAGAGCUAAUCGCUACAGCUUCCUCCUACUGCAGCUUCCUCAUGUUGCAGCAUCGUUGUAGCUUCCUCCUCUGUUGCAGCAUCGUUGCGGCUUCCUCCUCUGUUGUAGUUUCUGCUGUAGCUUUCUCCUAUGCUGGAGCAUUGCUGCAACUACCUCCUUUGCUCCGACUUCCUCCUUUAUUACAUCUAUGCUGCAGCUACCUCUUCUACUAUAGCUUCCUCCUCUAUUGUAGCAUUACUACAGCAUCGCUGCAGCUUUCUCCUAUACUGUAGCUUCCUCCUCUUCUGUAGAAUCACUGCAGAUUCCUCCUCUGCUAUAGCAUCGUUGCAGCUACCUCCUCUUCUGCAUCUACCUCCUCUACUGUAGCAUGAUAGCAGAUAAGAUUUCUCUAACUAUAUGAGAAAAUCUAGAGUUGAGAGAAAUCCUCCCUCUUAAUCUGUAUAAAUAGGGAGAGAAUACCUUCAAUGUAAAAUAGUUUCUUCAAUAAUUCUUCUUGUCUUCUAUUCUUCCCAACAGAUAAAAAGGGAUGUGGACGAGGCCAUCAAAAGGAACACACGUCAUUUAUGAUUACUGCUCGCUGCUCUUUGUUACUCGCCGAUGUCCUCAUCCAUCAGUAUGAACUGGAUGAGAGAAUAAUAUUCAAAAUACUCAGUUAAUAUUUUUCUUACUAACAGGAGUUUCUAUAGCUCAUGAUUCAUAACUUUAUUUUUGUCCCUUGUAUAAGAGCUGAUUUAAGUUUCUGUAUAGUUUUAUCAAUCGUGUUUUUUAUGCUAGUUUUACUUAUGACGCUGAAUGGCUUAUCUUAAUUACUAAUUGAGCAUUCAUCUCAUUAAGCAUUUAAUUAGAUGACACAGGGCACAUGCUCACGGUCACUUAUGGCUCCUCUUGCCAUCCUUCACGUGCAUGAUAUAUAUAUAUAUAUAUAUNNNNNNNNNNNNNNNNNNNNNNNNNNNNNNNNNNNNNNNNNNNNNNNNNNNNNNNNNNNNNNNNNNNNNNNNNNNNNNNNNNNNNNNNNNNNNNNNNNNNNNNNNNNNNNNNNNNNNNNNNNNNNNNNNNNNNNNNNNNNNNNNNNNNNNNNNNNNNNNNNNNNNNNNNNNNNNNNNNNNNNNNNNNNNNNNNNNNNNNNNNNNNNNNNNNNNNNNNNNNNNNNNNNNNNNNNNNNNNNNNNNNNNNNNNNNNNNNNNNNNNNNNNNNNNNNNUUGGACGUCACCAGUUUGCUCACCAUGUUCCCCCACGCGAACUGGAACACCCCAGUCCCUCCCACGAUGGCCCGGUCCGCCUUCCCGGAGGUGUCCAUCCUCCCUAUCAACGUGAGCGUGCUGUCGCAGAAGUCCCCGGCCGUGAACACCAGCACCAGCGGUAUCAGCGACGACUCGUCCCGCUGCGACGCGUGGAAGCUCACGCCCUGCGCCCUCCCGACUUCAGUCGAACGCUUGGAGGGGCCGGUCCUCAGCACGGCGUCGAAGAUGUCGACGUCCCCGAAGGUGUUGGGGAGGCUCAUGUUCACCACGGUGACGGUGGUGUUGUCGGGGCCGAGAAAGGUCUCGUGGAAGUAGACGCGGAAGUGGAUUCUGCUCUGCCGGCCGAGUUCGAACUCGGAGGUUACCGGGAAGGCUGUGGCAGCAGCCAGGAGGAGGAAGAAGACAAGGAGGAAGUAGAGAUGAGAGGAGCUGUGUGGGGAUGAAGCCAUGGCUAGGAUGACCGAAGGAUCGAAUUGAGGUGGGUACAACGCUGGAUCAGGAACAUGUAUUUAUAGAGUAAUGUCUGUGCCAUGCGUCGUCAACAAAAGCCAACUUCCAACCAAAUCUCAUUAUCAUGUCUACAUAAAAAACCCAAACGAAUAUUACUCUUGCAGGCGAAGGUCUCAGCGUAGGGAAGAAGAUAGCAUAUGGUAACACGAUGUACACACCAUAUAGUCUUCUCCAUAUAUAUAUAUAUAUAUAUAUAUAUAUAUAUAUGAUGUCGAGCAAUGGAGAUGGGUAACUGAGAGAUGGAGGGAUGAUAGUUGCAAGCAAUGGGCGAUGAGGAUAGUGUUGCGUCUUCUGCAAGUGCCAACUGGCCACCUGUAGCUCGUCAAUUUGCUUGUUAAUUAACGAACCACAUUGGCAACGCUAUCUUUCUUAAUGUGUUUCACCACAGAUGUACGCGGUUGGCUGAUGGCUGUCGCUCCCGUUUGUUCGCAUCUUCGGUUGUUGACAUGUGGAAAUGAAGUGUCGGUUCCCAUGCGUGAUCGGUACCUCACCACUCCACUUCAAGUCGCGACGUAAUUAAUGACCGACGGUGCGAUGCAAAACCUUCACUCGCCAAUCAAGUCAUUCGUGACUCAUGUGGGGCCAUUAACCAUCUUUUUGCUCUACAGUAAUCAAAGAAAAGCUCACAUGAUGUGUUCUCAUAUCAGCAUACAAAUGAAUUUUAUGUGACUUUUAAUAUACAUACAUAUUCUCUCCUGUCAAAACAUAUCCUAAACUCAUGUUUAUUUUUACCAUUAUAUAUAUCAUCACGAGACCAAAAGACAAAAAGGCAUGGGAUAACAUAACGCAUGUCAAUGUUUCCAUGUGAAUCACGCCUACAGAAUCCUUCACCUACCGAAGGUGUGGUUGGUUGUCAAAGUUCAUCAUUAUUAUGUAAGGGACAUUUUUCUCAGCAUAUCGUCAAAUGCCAGCGCAUGACGUGUUACCUUUCAAAGUGCAUAGUUGACCCAUUCCGCGUGUAAUGUCUCCUACUUAGUUGUCCCUUCACGCAAUGCAUUUCUUUAUCAGUAUACGUAUACUUCACCUGUUCAUAGCAUCCAUAUUAAAGCUUAUGUAGGUGCAGCGAAAUUAGUUAAUCGUCUAUAAAUAGGAUAGAAAUGGAUAACAAGUCUUAUUAAAGCCAUUAAUUAAGAAUUUAGAAUAGAGAUAGUAUCAUAUUUGAUUUCACAUUGAUCAGAGACUUAGAGAAUCAAUACCUAAUACCUAAUAAAGAGUCAAAUACAAAUUUUCGUUUUUUGACAGACAACUUUUGGGAUCCACCUUAGGAAAGGAAAGAUCAUGUGGUCCCGCUUAACAAUUUAUGAUUCAAAAGAGCUCGUGAUUGAAUAGUUUGUGAAAAUAAGAAUAUUAUUUGGAUAAAAAUAAAUAGUAAAAAAAGGAUCAAAUGAUAUAUGGACACGUGGCAUAUUCACCGAUCUUUAAAGCAGCCGAUCGCACGAGUAGUAAGAACUACCAAAGCUCUCUCCACGAUGAGAAAGGGCAACGAAGGCGGGGGAGUGACGAUGUGAAAGAAUCAUAAAGACGAUUGUUAGCAACCCUUGUGGUCGAGGUGCCAGCGUGGUUCGAUCCAAUCCUAAAUGCGCUUGUCCACGUAGAUGCUCGAGUGAUGGAAGUGAGCAUUAUGUCGUGUUGAGUUUGAGCCUCGUCUAUCUCAAUAUAGUUUCUCUCUUGGUGAGUGGCCUGCUUAUUUAUCACCGGACACAGGUUAGGGUCGAGAGGAAGAUUUUUUGAUUUGACCCUUGCGAAAGUUAAAUUAGUGUUGGGUGAAGUAAGAGGGAGUUAAAUGCUCAAAGUUCUUCCCAUGAUGUCAAUUAUUGGGUUGACUUUUAUACAUGCGAACAAAGUUCUUCACUGCUUCAGUAUGAUAUUCGAUUUAUAGAUGAAAGGUUAUGUUUUUCUUCAGCUUCAUGUUGCUCAUGGUCCAAAGUGAACUUGCUAAAAGAAAAAACACUGUCAUGAUUAUGAUGGAAUAAUAUUUCAAACACUUAGAUUUUUAAUAUAAAAUUGUAUGUAUCUAAGAGCUGGUUGGAGAAUUGUAUAAGAUAUGUCUAUAGUUCAACGAGUUCUGAUAUUUUUGGAGUUUGUUGCAAUAGGAUUUUAUUCGUAAUAUUAAUAAACGAGAUCGAAUAAUUCUUUUUAUUUUAGCCUUAUUAUUUAUUCUGCAGACGUAAAGCAAGAUAAACAUUGUUAGCUCUUAUUUAAUUGCUGUAGCUUUCGUUAUCGUGUCUCGGAUCACGCGAUGGAAGUGAGACGGACGUCGUUAUGGUACAUGACGUAGACCACGAAGGCGACGACGAGUCCUGCGACAUCGGACGUCACCUGCUUGCUCACCACGUUCCCCGACGCGAACUGGAACACCCCCGUCCCUCCCACGAUGGCCUGGUCCGCCUUCCCGGACGCGUCCAUCCUUCCGAUCACCGUGAGCGUGCUGUCGCAGAAGUUUCCCGCCGUGAACACCAGCACCAGCGGUAUCAGCGACGACUCGUCCCGCUGCGACACGUGGAAGCUCACGCCCUGCGCCCUUCCGACUUCAGUCGACCACUUGGAGGGGCCGAUCCUCAGCACGGCGUCGAAGAUGUCGACGUCCCCGAAGGUGUAGGGGAGGCUCAUGUUCACCACGGUGACGGUGGUGUUGUCGGGCCCGAGAAAGGUCUCAUGGAAGUAGACGCGGAAGUGGAUUCUCUUCUGGAUGCCGAGUUCGAACUCGGAGGUGACGGGUAAGGCCGUGGCAGCCGCAAGGAGGGGGAAGAGGACGAGGAGUAAGUAGAGAUGAGAGGAGCUGUGUGGGGAUGAAGCCAUGGCUUUGAUGAUGUUGUGGGAAACAACCUGGGAGCAGUGGCCUCGGGGCCGACGCGACUCAGUUCGAGUCCGAACGACGAGGAUCUUUGCUCGAGGUCUCUCGGGAUUGUCGGAGUGACCGACCGUGCGGACCAGACCACCGUUGGGUUCGUCGGGAUGUCUAGGGGGGAAGGCGUCCUCUCCUUGCGCCCCGGGGAAAUAGCUUCAUCUCCUUACCUGCACACAGGUCGGGUCGGAAGCUCGGCCCGACCCCUCCGACGAUCAAGUUAGUGGAUGUGGAGGGGGUUUAAGAAGAAGAAGUAUUUUUUGUGUCCCUCUUUGGUGUGUUCUCCCCUCCCCCCCUCUCCUGAUGAACGAGAGGGUAUUUAUAGGGAGGCUUAUUGUUUCUCGAUGUGUCCGCUUGCAGGGGGCAGGCUGGUUGUGUCUGACAUUGGUUUGGCGUGACGUGAAGAACCGAGCCUGAGUAGGUGUUAAUGCGCCUUGGCCUAUGUUCCGAUCCGUUUGAUCGGGUGUCGUCGCGUCGUCCGAGGCAUGAGGUGUCAUCUGACGUCAGUCAGGUCUUAUUAUAAUUAAUAUCCUCAUCAUGACAAAAUGAUCGAAGUUAGGUGGGCACAACGCUCGAAAAGGACAUGUAUUUAUAGAAGAGGCGUUGCCAAGCGUCGUCAACAAAUGUCAACUUCCAACUACCGCAAUUAUCAUGUCUGCGAAGGAAGAAGAUGGAUGUUUGGCCUUCCCGGUGAAUGCAUCCUUCAACUCAGAGAUGGAAGAUGGUUCCCGAGUGUGAUCGGUGCGUCUCGUGCAUUUAUUAUAGAGGAUCGUCAUAUGCCUUGUUCGCUUUCAAUGUAAAUAAUUGACCCAAUCCGCGCGCAAUCUAAACCACAUAGUGGGCCCAUCACACAAUGCAUUUCUUUCUCAAGAUGUGUUUGCUUCACCUAUUUCAACUGUUUAUGCGGUCCACAUUAAAACUUCUGUCGGUUCUGCAAAAUUGGCUAAUUAUCGCUUCUUAAUGUUGAAAAUUUAUAACAAGUGUGUGUAAGACUCUCGAUUAAAAAUUUUAAACAUAUUUAGUCCCAAAUUGAUUAGAGUCAAUACCUAAUCAAAUACGAAAAGAUCAUCCCUCCACUCCUACUUAACAAUUUAUUAACAUUAAAAGAGUUCAAGAUUAAUAUUUUUUGAUUGACGUAAAUAAUUUGUGAAAAAUAAAGGUAUUAUUUUGAAUAAAAUAAAUAGUAAAAAAAGGAUCAAAUUGAUUAUGGAAACGUCACAUUUUCACGAAUCAUAAAGCAGCAGACUGCAUCAGUAAGUAAUAUAUAAUUUUGGAUAAAAAUAAAUACUAAAAAAGAUGAAGGGGGAAAUGACGAUGUGAAGAAUCCACAGAGGUGGCUCUCCUCUCUGUCCUCUUCGGUAGCAACAAGCACGAUAUGGUGAUCAAGGCCCGAUCUCUUACUAUUCCUUCUCGUCCAAUUUUCCCAAUCUUGGUUAGAGUUUUAAUUUGAUGGAGUGCUUGACGCCGUCUUGUAGUUUUUUGAUGUCAAAUUCUUGGUUCGAUCUACUGUUCGAUCAAAAUCUUUGAUGGUCCUAUAAACUAGUUGCUCUAUGAUCAACAAAAAUAUUAGGGAUAAUCCUAAUAUUUUAGUAUUUGAUAGGGAUAAUCCUAACACUUGCCAGCUCUUUCAUCAUAUAGGUUAAAGAAGCAACACCUAAGCAUCAGCAUGGGAGUCACCUGCUCCCUGCAACCGCUAGCAUAUAAACUCAUCUAGUUUGAGUUGCAUCACGGGAUAAAUCUGAGGAAUCUAUAUAUUAAAAAAAUCCACCCUUUAUAUUGUUAUUGUCAUAUGAUAUUGGGGUAGAAUCUAAUAAAUGACACAGUUACUCUACAUACACACACACUUAUAUAUAGUCUUAUAGAUGUGGACAUGUGACAUCAACUAAAUGAGCAAUCUAAAAACUAAAAUGCAUUUGUACCUAUUAAGUUUUGUUUUCCAACAUAUAACUUAAUUUAAGAGGGCAAUGCACCAGUUAUGAUUCAAGUAUUAUUCAACAACAUUCACUAAAUCACUCGAGGUUUUAAGAGUCAAAUUUAGAUAAGGACCAGGACAAAAUGAAACUCAAUCAUGAAAAUUAAAACUUCUAAAUAGGAAGAAAUACAAUAUCAUUUUGUUCAGAUAAGUACACAACAUUCCCGUAUUAAUCUCUAUAUUGUAGCCUACUAAUUUAAAGGCACUGUAAGAUUACAAUGUAAUCAACCUAAAAAUAGGCCCCUUCCUCAGCGUCACCAAUUGCAUGUAGCCAUCAUCUAAAACGUCGUCUUAUAUGGUUCUGUAAGAAGACUCUUAUAGAAGUUUUUAUGUGCCCACAUAUUAUCAACAUGGGCCGUGCCACAAUGCAGAAAGCCUUACUCAUGCAACAUUAUUAAAUCAUUCAUAUCCAAAGGAAUUCAUGAAUCACAAUAAAUAGCUACUAACCUCCUUGAUAACAACUAACAAUGUAGAGGAGACCUAAAAAGGUCUAAAUUAUAAGACCCAUAAGUUUAAUCGAUGACAACUUGUUUCUUAAGCACCAUCGUGCGAGUCACUUAUUUCCUAAUAAGUGAUGUGAUUUUUAGAAAGUAAAUAAUAUACAAUCCUUUUUCGUGUGUGAAUAAUAACGAAUGAAUAUUAUAUUUCUAUCUUUAUAUGUGAAAAUAAAAUAAAAUUAAAUUUAAAAUAAUAAUUAAAUAUUUACUAAUUUUUAGGGAGAUUUCAUCUUCUUCUAUAUAAACUAGCUCCCCCUUCCUCAUUCCACACCGAGCAAAAUAAAAGUAUUGAAGAAAAGAUAUUUCAAGAAGAUGAUUUUGAGGUGAGGUAAGAUCCUCUAUUCUUUUCUAAUCAAAUUUUAUUCAUAUUUUAAAAUCUUUAAUAUUAAAAGAUUUUCUAUUCUAUUCUAAUCAGUUUUGAUUCAUAUUUUGAAAUCCUUGAUAUUAAAAUUGUUGUGAUCGUAUGAUGCAUAAUAAUAUUUUAAUUUUAAAAUUUUAUAAUUAAUAAAUAAUGAUAAUUGAUUUAUAAUGUUAGAAUGAUUAUUUGAUUUAUAAUGAUCUUUUAAACUUAAGUAACUUUUAAGAUUGAUUUAAUUAUUAAAACUUUUAUUAUUUUAGAUUAAUAUAAUAGUUUUAAUUUAUUUAGUUAUAUAUAUUUAUAUUUUAAGAAUUAGCUAUAAAUUUGAAUGACUUAAUUAGUUUUAAAUUUAAGAUUAUGAAUUUAAAAUUUUUAAUUUAUGAAUUUAAAAUAUUUUUUUAAUAAUUUAAAAUAUUAAAAAAUUUGAUAAGAUGAGCCAGUCUGACUUGAGGUAGGUUGAUCUGUCAAAUUGAGUCAAUCCAACUCUUAUAUCAUAUUUAUCAUAAUUUAUAUUAUUUUUAGAUUUAUAAAAUAUAUAAAUAUAUAUUUAGCUCAUACUUAACUCAUGACAAUCAUAUUAUUCUAAACAUACUUUCUAAAAUAUAUUAUACAUAUAAUAAGAUAUAUGACUAUUAUUAUAUAGUAAAUUAAAUUUAUACUUAUCAGAUUAAAUUUAAAAAUAAAGAUAUUAAUAAAAAAAUAUGUUCCUUAAUGAUUGAGUGUGCUGAAGAGCAAUAGACCUACCAAACUACGAGCAAAAGGUUAUGAGAUGCUUUAAUUAAGAAUCUUGCAUCUUCAAUUAUUGAUUUAUAGUAUUUUAUAAUAAUAAUUCAUUACAAAAAUAUUUUUUAUAAAUUAAGUUAUACUCAACCUAUCAAUAUCUCAAGUUAUUCCUGAUAGGGGAGUCACCGUGGAGUCAACGGGGAUACGGACCAUGACGCCAGCCAUCCCAUGGUGGGACAAUCAAAGUGACUCCCCUCAGGAAGUGAUGGCGACGCGACAUAACAUGACACCCUCUGCGCGUGGGCCGCACCCUGCCCAAGUGAACGGGCAUUAACGCUGACUCGACGUUCCCAACGUCACCCCCUCAACCAACGACUCCCUCGCCCAUACCCUGCGACACGAUGGUCCGCCACGCAACCCUAAUGGCAAUGUCAAAUCCAGCCAGAGGCACGACCCUAUUCUGACAAGUAGGAACAUCAGGUAAUGUCAGACCCAAACUAUAAAAGAGUCCAGGGCCUAAAGGCCAAAGGGGAGAACUCUACACAGAAAAAAGCCCUUCUCGCCCACUAAUUGGAUCGUCGGAGGGGUUGGGCCAUCAGGACGGCCCGACCUUUGUGCAGGUACACGGCGGCCGACCACCGGGGAUUUGCAGCCGGCCAUCUCUGAAGGCCACCCGCCGAUCGGGUUUGCCCCGAGCGCUCACCCAAAAGGCGUCAAGAGGCUCUACCCAUGAUCUUCGGCAUCCGGACCCCUGAACCGAGCCUUAUCGUCCCGAGAUCACGGCUCAAGCAGGUGCAGACCGCAUCAAUUCCUUGUCCGUAGUAGCUAAAAUUCAACUAUAUUUAGUAUCCAAAGAUUAGAGAUCCAUGAUAAAGUAUGAUGUCAGUAAUUAUGUAUUAAUUGCGUGAUAAAAAAGGUGAAACAUCGUUUGUCCAUUCUCAUAUUUGCUUCCAUGUCCAAUGCUUUAAUUACAUUAUAUUAUAUGCGACAUCGACACGGUCUCAUGUUCACAGAAACACACAACACUAACAAUAUGAUCCAUCGACCAUUUUGUACCCACUUGUUUCAGUUUUCUUUGUGUGUUUCCAGAAAAAAAAAGGCUUUAUGUAGAACGAAGUUUGAUAAUUUUUUAGAAUUAUAGUAGAUUAUAAUGAAAAAAUUGACAGAUAACCUAUCCUUAAUGUCACUCUACAGGAUAUGAGUUUUAUACCACAUAAUACUCCUCGUUUAAUUCUUUCCAAGUAAUUAGAUCUUUUUCUUCAUUCAAGAAUUUUAUAUGAUGCAUAAAAGCAUUCAUGAAUUUUAUAUAUAUAUAUAUAUAUAUAUAUAUAUAUAUAUAUAUAUACUUUAUUUUAUUAUAUUGAGUUUGGCUGUACAAUAUUAUUUUAGUUGAUCUUAUUAACCACUUUACAGUGUGGUCCGAUGCACUACGAAUUCUAAAUAGGAGAAGAAUUGAUUUACUACAGUCAUAUAUACCUAAAAAAUAAAACAUGUCACCGUACUUUGCUGCCAAAUAUCGACGUUUGUAAAACCUUUUCUUUCUCAAUAAUAAGAAGCUUUAAUUUAUUUUAAGAGAAAGAUGAAGAACAAAGUGACACGUAGAAUAGCAUUUAGUUCAGCCUUUUGUUUUGUCCUUAUUCCAAUUACUGUCUUCGUGGAGUGACGCCAGAGGCCGAGCUUCUUUGUGCCUUGUAUUAAGCUUCGGUGACGGCCACGUCGUUUAAUCAUGCGAUGGCACUGCGACCGACGUCGGUGUAGUAGAUGACGUAGACGUCGAAGGCGGCGACGAGGCCCUCGACGGAGGACGUCACCAGCUUGCUCGCCAGCUUCCCCCAUGCGUACUGGAAAACCCCCGUCCCACCCACGAUGGCCCGCUCCGCCUUCCCGGACGCGUCCAGUCUCCCGAUCGCCGUGAGCGUGCUGUCGGCGAACUCUCCCGUNNNNNNNNNNNNNNNNNNNNNNNNNNNNNNNNNNNNNNNNNNNNNNNNNNNNNNNNNNNNNNNNNNNNNNNNNNNNNNNUUAGACGAUAUUUUAGACUCUCUUAAAAAGGUAAGUAUGUAAGCAUCAUCAUAAUAAUAUUUUAGAGAUUAACAUUAGAAAGGAUUUCAAAUCCUCAAUUCAAAGUUGAGUCUUUUAGAUGUAAGAAUAUCUCAAACUAAAUUCUUGAAUCAUCAAUCAAUAAGUGAAUUUUUAUCAUGUUUAUAGAUUAAAAUGAAUCAUAUACAAUUAAUGAGACUUAGCAUGAUAAAUUUAAGUAAUUCUUAUUGAAAAUAUUUAUGUACGUGAGAUAAAAAAAGAUGAGAGAAAAGUAAUAUAUGACUAAAGAUUGAAGGAGUCAGAGUACAGAAAGUCGGUUUGACAAGUAACACCACGUUUAGCCUUCCUCUUGAACGCCGGUCUCGUUCCAAAAUCGCCGGCCGGACCACUUCGCUCUCCGCCGACAACACGCAACGUCUAGUUUCGCUGGGAUAUGGGUGAUGCGGGUCAAAGUAGAUGAAGCCAUCGACAUGAACGAUGUCGUCUGUAUUCGUCUCUAUCCUCGUCUUCUCAUCUCAGGACAAUAUCUUCCACCUCACGGUAUCAUACGUUGCAUGGUAGGUGAACAAGGAGGAAAGCCAUCAUCCAUGGGGCUGCUUUUGGUUGGUUAAUGGUGAGGGUUCCAUCACAUUUGUUCCGUGUGAUACACGUUUUCUUUCCACCUUUGGUGAAAGAAGAACAUUUGGUGACUAUAAGGGCAUAUUUGCAUAUCAAAUUUGCGAUAAAAAGGGAUGUGGAUGAGACCAUCAAUGUGAUUGAUGCCUCAAUUUUGGAGAAGGAACGCACGUCGUUUACGAUUGCUGCUCUUCGUUACUCGUCGAUCUCCUCAUCCAUCAGUAUGAACUGGAUGAGAGAAUAAUAUUCAAAUUACUCAUUUAAUAUUUUUCUUACUUAAUAGGAGUUUCUAUAGCUCAUGAUUCAUAACUUUAUUUUUGUCCCUUGUAUAAGAGCUGAUUUAAGUUUCUGUAUAGUUUUAUCAAUAGUGUUUUUUAUGCUAGUUUUACUUAUGACGCUGAAUGGCUUAUCUUAAUAACAAACUGAGCAUUCAUUUCAUUAAACAUUUAAUUAGANNNNNNNNNNNNNNNNNNNNNNNNNNNNNNNNNNNNNNNNNNNNNNNNNNNNNNNNNNNNNNNNNNNNNNNNNNNNNNNNNNNNNNNNNNNNNNNNNNNNNNNNNNNNNNNNNNNNNNNNNNNNNNNNNNNNNNNNNNNNNNNNNNNNNNNNNNNNNNNNNNNNNNNNNNNNNNNNNNNNNNNNNNNNNNNNNNNNNNNNNNNNNNNNNNNNNNNNNNNNNNNNNNNNNNNNNNNNNNNNNNNNNNNNNNNNNNNNNNNNNNNNNNNNNNNNNNNNNNNNNNNNNNNNNNNNNNNNNNNNNNNNNNNNNNNNNNNNNNNNNNNNNNNNNNNNNNNNNNNNNNNNNNNNNNNNNNNNNNUAAUUGGAUAAGAUAUAUAAUAUAACUAAUUGUUGUAAGUAUUAGAUUUUGUGAUCCUUUUAUAAUUGGAUAUAUAUAUUAGAUAUAACAAGAGGUACGUCUGUAAACACGUACAGACGUACCUCUUGUUGGGAAAUCUUGGGGGCGACAUCACAUGCACAGCGGAAGAACAAGAAAACAAAAUCCUCUAUUCCCAAAGAGAUGUUCGUCGUCGUGCAAAGAUUGGUGCGCAAAAUCCGUGAAACUUAAAACUACGUAUAGAGUAGAUUGUGUUACCUAGGGAGAUCGUAUAUCCUUGUUUCGUUACAGCUUUUUAGGAGAGGAUGAAAGAGGUCAAGCGUCCUCCUCUCUAGCGGUGAUCUACAUAGUAGGGUUGCGACGAUGCUCCUCAAAACUCCAGGCCUGCUAUGAGGUGGAGAGGGAGAGGAGAAUAGGAGAGGCAAGCAAAUGCUCUAGCUCUGAAUCCCUCCUAUUUAUAGAAGCCCCUUGUCAAAAACCUAAUGGAUCCUCCCCUAGUGGAUAUUGGAUCUACAUCUAAUUACCCAAGCCUUUUAGAUUAGUGGAUCUUUAUCCAAUAAUAUCACAUUGGCUCUUAUUGGAUCUCGUCCAUGGGAUCCAAUAAUUCAUGGGCUUAUUGGAUAUCCAAUAAGACAAGGGCUCUAGCGGAUAUCUCAUAUCCGAACCUUUACUUAUCGUAAUGCCUACCAUAUGUGUGUGACCCUCUAGACCCAAUAUCGAGUUGGCUGUGAGUUAUACUUGUCAGAACUCCUUCUAACUUAGUGAAUUAUUAUCUAUGCAAUAAUUCACUCGACUCAUCGACUACGGACGUAUUAGACCACUACGUCGUAGUCCCCAGACGAUACAGGGGAAUCCAAUCCAUUGGACCUGUCUGUCCUUAGUUACCGUGUACUUAUAGUCCCUCAUCCACCUAAUAUCCCAGAGACCGUAUAUCGAGCAUGGUGUUGUUAGACUCAUACGGUUUUUACUCGAGUCUCGCUCUACUCGGAUUCUCCCGGAGAACUGUUUCUCUCUUAACCCGAAUGGCCCUAGCCAGGGAUUUGUCUGAGCAAGAACACAUGGGAUAUUCCUCUCAUGAUGUCGAGAGUGGAUGAUUCUCUAUCGACACUCAAUAGCCCUCGUAAUGUCGACUGUCACUCCCAAUGACAAGUUGUAUUAGAUCUGGGACAGCCAAACCUAUAAGUCUGGUAUCAAAGAGUGGAGCACUCAUACAGGACAUCCUUGGUGUCUCAAGUCUAAGGACCAGAUACACCACUAGGACUACGGAAUUGCUGUCUAACAAUAAGGCAUCAUUAACCAUCCAACAUUCCGUAAGAGGAUCAAUCAAUUAACUCAUUCUCCAAUGAGCACCUAUACUAUAUCCCUAGUGUCCCUAUAUGAGCAACUAUGAAACCAACUGCAUCCAUCAUAUGGACGAGUAUACAGCACACCAAUUUGUCCGGUUAUUAUGAUGUCUCUUUCGAGUAACCUAUGAUCGGGAUUAUUUAUGAUAUGUGUUUAAAGGUAAAUCGAUCUUAUUAUCGUGAUCUCAUCACGAUCUGAUUCCCAUUGCACAGAUCCAAGGACAUCACAAUAUAUACAUGCAUAUAUGCAAUAGUUAAUAUAAAGUGAUAAAUAUCAAAAUAUAAUAAGUAAAAAAAAGAUUCUGUGUCAAGUCACACGUGUAUCACUCACGUGAUUGGCUUGUUGGGCACCUAUAACUAGCACCUCUCCGUCUCCAUUGAGGGAUUAUAGUUUUCUCAAAAAAAUCAUCAAUCUAAUUGGUCCCGUGAAAGGAUAGAAAGAGAGGAGAAAGGAUAUACUCAUUGUAGAUUCUGCAACGAUCUUGGAUUAAAGACGGUGCAUUGAAGAUCAAACAAAAAUAUUUGAACAAGCAUCAAAAGGUACGUAUCGUUAAACGAGAUCUAUGUAUUUGAUUUCAAUCCUGGUAUAAAGGUUAUUUUCGUAUUUUAAACAACACAUUACAGUUUUUUUGCUUACAAUUUGGUAUCAAAGCCUGGUUUUUUAAAUCAAACACAUUAUAUCUAUUAUUUUGAUGCAUGAUUGGCUUAGGUUUUGCAAAAUUAUAGUUUUACCCUUUGUAAAUUUCAUAAUUCUGAUUUAUGUUCUGUCAACAUAUUUAUGGUUUUUGUCAUCGGGUCUAAUUUCUAUCAAAUUAUAGUUCUACCCUUUAUAAAUCACAUGAUUUCAAUUUAUAUCCUUUCAAAUAUUUAUAGUUUUAUCGAAAUUGAGAAAUUUAGUUUAUAUUCUCAAUUAUAAAAUUGAUAAAUAUGAUUUAUUAUAAUUAUGAUUAAAUUUAAUCAUAAUUAUAUUUUUGAUUAUUUUAUUAUAUUUAAUUUUGAUAAAAAAUAUAAAUUAUGGUUUACUUUAUAGUUUUCUCAUAUGAAAUAUUAAUUAUAUAUGUAGUAAAUAAAAUCAAAAUAUAAUUAUUAUUUUUAAAAUUUUAUUUACUUAUUCACAUGUAUAUAUUUGAAAUUAUGAAAUAAUGUUUAUCUUUCACAUGAAGGCAUGAUUUAUAUGUUAUCAUGAUUAUCAUAUGAGUUUUCUUUUACUGAUUAAAGUUCAAUAAUUAUUAUGGUUAUUCUAUUAUUGAACUGCUUAGUGGGACUUGAAUGAGCUAACUAGCAUGUGUGGGACUUGAAUGAGCUAACUAGCAUGUGUGGGACUUGAAUGAGCUAUUAUUCACUAUAAUACAAAUAAGGAUAAGUGGGACUUGAAUGAGCUAACUAGCAUGUGUGUUCAGGAAGAAUUGAGAUUAAGACAGGAAAGUUCAUAUAAUGUCAUUACUACUACUCAAGGAGGUGGUAAUAAGAAAAGAAAGUUAAAGCAUCAUCCAUCAAAGAGAUUUGUCGAGUCUGAAAAUGUUAAACAGACUAAUGGAAAGAAAGUCUUUACUGUAAAGUAUUUUUUUUGUGACAAGAAAAGAACAUGUGAAGAAGGACUGCAUUAAAUGCAAGACUUGGUUCGAAAAUAAAGGUAUUAAUUCGACCUUUAUAUGUUUUGAAUCAAACAUUACAAAAGUUCCUUCAAACACUUGGUAGAUUGAUUCUGAUGCUUCAACUCAUGUUACCAAUAAGGAUUUCUUUCAAUUCCAAAACCAAAAGAACAUUAAAGAUUUAUUAAUAUGGGAAAUCGUCUUAAAGCGAAAGUGAUAUAAAUGAGAACUUAUCAUCUACGCAUAGAGACGGGUCACCUGAUGGAUCUUAUUGACACAUGUUAUGUCCCUACAAUUUCUAAAAAUUUAGUUUCUUUUUCUAGAAUUGAUGAGUUAGGAUAUUGUCUUUCUUUUGAUAGUGGCAAACUCAGUAUGUUUUAUGAUUCAAUAAAAGUUAGUUCCGGAAUUCUGUAUGAUGGUUUGUAUAGAAUUAAUUUGGAUAUUGAGUUUACAAAGACAUUAAUAACCCUACAAUCAAGUGUUAGAUUGAAACGUAGUUUCAAUAAUGAAAGAUCUUCUAUAUUGUGGCAUAUACGAUUGGUGCAUAUCUCCAAGGAAAAAAUUGAAAGAUUAGUGAGGAUAAUAUUUUGGAACAUUUAGACUUCACUAAUUUUGAUAUUUGUAUAGAUUGUAUUAAGGGAAAGCAAACUAAACAUAUAAAGAAAAAUGCCACAAGAAGUAAAGAAUUCGUUCAGAUUAUUCAUGCUGAUAUCUGCGGACCACUCCAUAUUCCUUGUUUUAGUGGAGAAAGGUAUUUUAUCACAUUUAUAGAUGAUCUGUCCAGAUAUGACUAUGUUUAUCUAAUACAUAAAAAGUCUCAAGCCAUUGAUACAUAAAUGAGGUCGUGAGACAAUUAGAUAUAAAAGUUAAAAUUGUCAGAUCUGACAAGUUUAAUGAAUUUUAUGGUAGAUAUGAUGGAUCUGGUUAGAAUAUUGGUUCUUUUGCUAGAUUCCUAGAACAAUGGGAUAUUUAUGCUCAAUAUGUAUUACCAGGUGUGCCAUAGCAGAAUGAUGUUGCUGAAAGGGGAAAUCAUACUCUUAUGGAUAUGGUUAGGAGCAUGAUAAGUUAUUCCUCUGUACUUAAGUCGAUGUGGUGUGAAGCUCUUAUAACAGCUAUGUACACAUUGAACAGGAUUCUUAGUAAGUCUGUUUCAUCGACUCCAUUUGAGUUAUGGACUGGUAGGAAGUCCAGUCUAAGACAUUUACAUAUUUGGGGGUGUCCUACAAAGAUAAAAGUAUUUAAUCCAUAUGAAACGAAAUUUGAUCUAAGAACUAUUUCAGGAUAUUUUAUUGGUUAUCUAGAAAAAUCCAAGGGAUACAGAUUUUAUUGCCCUAAUCAUAGUAUGAGGAUAGUAGAAUCUAGUAAUGCAAAAUUAUUAGAAAAUGGUGAAAUCAAUGGGAGUAAAAAAUCUUGAAUGAUUAAUUUUGAUAUUGAGGAGAUUUAGGUUAAUUCUCCUAUAUCAUCUCUUAUUUAAGAGAUUGUUGUUCCUCAAAUCAAUGAGAGUAUUAAUGAGGGUGAAUAAUAAAAUAACAUCGAAGAACUCUCACAUAAUGUUGAUGUCACCGCUGAUGAUCUUGUAGAACAAUCACAAUUGGCAGAUUUAAGAAGAUCUCAAAGGAAAAAGAAACAUGUCAUUUCUGAUGAUUAUGUGGUAUAUUUACAAGAAUCAAAUUAUUAUAUAGGAAUAAAAAGAGACCCCUUAUCGUUUCCACAAGCUAUAGAAAGUAAUGAUUAUGAAAAAUGGUAUGAUGCAAUGAAAGAAGAGUUAAAAUCAAUGGUUCAGAAUGGUGUCUAAGAUCUCGGUGAAAUGCCCAAUAAUUGUAAAAGAGUCGAUUGUAAAUGCGUCUUUAAGAUAAAAUGUGACUCAACGUGCAAUAUCAAACGAUUUAAAGCCAGACUUGUGGCCAAAGAUUUUUCUCAAAAGGAAGAUAUCGACUAUAAUGAGACUUUUUCUUCAGUUUCUAAAACAGACUCAUUGAGAAUUAUCAUGACAUUAGUAACUCAUUAUGAUCUUGAGUUUCAUCUGAUGGAUGUGAAAAUAACAUUUCUGAAUGGGGAUCUGGAUAAGGAAAUCUAUAUGGAACAACCUGAAGGAUUCGUAGAAAAGGGAAAAGAAGGUUAGGCUUGUAAACUUAAGAAAUCUAUUUAUGACAUUAAACAAACUUCUAGACAAUGGUAUAUAAAGUUUCAUAAUACCAUUACUUCCUUCGGAUUUAAGGAAAAUACUGUUGAUCAGGGUAUAUAUCUGAAGGUAAGUGAGAGCAAGGCAGCCUAUGUUAUUAGUAUUGAGAUAUUCAGAGAUAGAUCUCAAGGAUUAUUAGAAUUAUCUCAGAAAGGUUAUAUUGAUCGUAUGUUGGAGAGAUUUAAUAUGCAACUUUGCUCAGCCAAUGAUAUACCUAUUACUAGAGGUGAAAAUUUCAAUUAAAACCAGUGUCCAAGAAAUGACUUAGAAAAGAAUCAAAUGAAAAAUAUUCCUUAUGAGUGCGUAGUUGGAAGUCUAUUAUAUGCUCAAACUUGUACAAGACCAGAUAUCAAUUUUGCAAUUGCAAUACUGGGAAGAUACCAAAGCAACCCAGGAAUGAAACAUUGUAAAGCUGCAAAGAAAGUAAUGAGAUAUGUACAAGGAACGAAAGAUUAUAUGCUCACAUAUAGGAGAUCAGAUCAGCUUGAAGUAAUAGGAUAUUCAGAUGCUGAUUUUGUAAAUUGCCUCGACAGUAGGAAGUCCACUUCAGGAUUUAUAUUUAUGUUAGCUGGUGGGGCAAAUUCUUGGAAAAGUGUAAAGCAAUCACUUAUUGCAUCAUCCACAAUGGAAGCUGAAUUUGUGACAUGCUUUGAGGCCACAAAUCAAGUUUUAUAGCUGCGAAAUUUCAUCUCAGGAUUUGAUAUGGUCGACUCAAUUGCCAAACCACUGAAUAUAUUUUGUGAUAAUACCACAACAGUUUUCUUCUCUAAGAAUGACGAGUAUUUUAGUGGUUCCAAGCAUAAUGAGAUAAAGUACUUUGUAGUUAGAGAAAGAGUCCAGAAACAGCAAGUGCCAAUUGAGAACCUGAACACCACUAUGAUGAUUGCUGAUCCAUUAACAAAGGCCUUACAAUAUAGAAUAUUUAAAGAACAUGCUCUUAGAAUGAGGCUUGUGCGCAAGUCAUAAAGGAUAUGAUGACACAUAUUUAUAUGGAUGUUAUUAUUAAUAUUCUUCUUGCUUAAUUAAACUUAUUUGUUUCUGCCAUCCUUUUUACAUUUAUGUUUAUGCAUAUUAUAGUUGAAUGUAAUAACAAGAUAAAUUAUCAUUAUAGACUAUAUUAGGAAAGACUAACAAUGUUGUGGUACAUAGAAGGAAGUAUGACAUUGAUGAAAUACAACCGCUAUGAUUCGUAUUGAUAGUUGGACUUAAUAUAGUAUUAUUAUGUUUAUUGGACUUAUUGGCUUAUUAAAAAAAAAACAUGGCCACGUAUAAAAUAUUUUUCAAAAUUCUUUAGAAUCCAAUUAGGUAAAAUUAUUUUUUAAAUAAAUUUUAUUUUUAUUUAUUUUGAUUUUGAUUAUCUCUUUUAUAUCUUAUCAAUUAAUGGAUCAAGUGGGAGAAUGUUAGAUUUUCUGAACAGAUGACAUCAAACAAAAAUUUCUGAACAAAUGACAUCAAAAGAUAGCAUCGUUAAACGAUAUCAAUAUAUUUGAUUUCAAUCUUGACAUAAAGGUUAUUUCCGUAUUUUAAACAGCAUAUUACUGUUUUUAUUUUUACAAUAAUAGGUUUUCAUUCAUAAUUUUAUUAAACGAGAUCGACAUUUCUUUUUAUUUCAGCCUUAUCAUAUAAUAGUUCAUCUCCUGACAUAUCUGAUCGCCGUGGCUUUAAUUAUCGUCUCGCGGAUCACGCGAUUGCGGUGAGACGGACGUCGUCAUAAUAGACGACAUAGAUGUCGAAGGCGGCGACGAGUCCCGCUUUGUCGGACGUCACCAGUUUGCUCACCAUGUUCCCCGACGCGAACUGGAACACCCCCGUCCCUCCCACGAUGGCCCGGUCCGCCUUCCCGGAGGUGUCCAUCCUCCCUAUCACCGUGAGCGUGCUGUCGCAGAAGUCCCCCGCCGUGAACACCAGCACCAGCGGUAUCAGCGACGACUCGUCCCGCUGCGACGCGUGGAAGCUCACGCCCUGUGCCCUCCCGACUUCAGUCGAACGCUUGGAGGGGCCGGUCCUCAGCACGGCGUCGAAGAUGUCGACGUCCCCGAAGGUGUUGGGGAGGCUCAUGUUCACCACGGUCACGGUGGUGUUGUCGGGGCCGAGAAAGGUCUCGUGGAAGUAGACGCGGAAAUGGAUUCUGCUCUGCCGGCCGAGUUCGAACUCGGAGGUCACCGGGAAGGCCGUGGCAGCAGCCAGGAGGAGGAAGAAGACGAGGAGGAAGUAGAGAUGAGUGAAGCUAUUUGGGGAUGAAGCCAUGGCUAGGAUGACCGAAGGAUCGAAGUGAGGUGGGUACAACGCUGGAUCAGGAACAUGUAUUUAUAGAGUAAAGUCUGUGCCAUGCGUCGUCAACAAAUGCCAACGUCCAACCAAAUCUCAUUAUCAUGUCUACAUAAAAUACUCAAACGAAUAUUACUCUUGCAGGCGAAGGUAUCCGCGUAGGGAAGAAGAUAGCAUAUAGUAACACGAUGUACACACCAUAUAGUCUUCUCCAUGAAUAAAUAAAUAUAUAAAUAUAUAUAUAUUUUUUUUAAAUAUAUUAAUAUAUAUGAUCUCUAGCAAUGGAUAUGGGUAACUGAGAGAUGGAGGGAUGAUAGUUGGAAGCAAUGGCCGAUAAGGAUAGUGUUGCGUCUUUUGCAAGUGCCAACUGGCCACCUGUAGCUCGUCAAUUUGCUUGUUAAUUAACGAACCACAUUGGCAACGCUAUCUUUCUUUAUGUGUUUCAACACAGAUGUACGCGGUUGGCUGAUGGCCGUCAGUCCCGUUUGUUCGCAUCUUCAGUUGUUGACAUGUGGUAAUGAAGUGUUGGUUCCCAUGCGUGACCGCUACCCCACCACUGCACUUAAAGUCGCGACGUAAUUAUUGACCGACGGUGCGAUGCAAAACCUUCUCUCGCCAAUCAAGUCAUUCGUGACUCAAGUGGCGCUAUUAACCAUCUUUUGCUUUACAGUAAUCAAAGAAAAGCUCACAUGAUUUGUUCUCAUAUCAGCAUAGCAAAUGAAUUUUAUGUGAAUUUUAAUAUACAUACAUAUUCUCUCCUGUCAAAACAUAUCCUAAACUCAUGUUUAUUUUCACCACUAUAUAUAUCAACACGAGACCAAAAAACAAAAAGGGAUGGGAUGACAUAAAGCAUGUCAAUGUUGAUGGGGAUAUAAAGAGGAAUAACCUUUUGUAUAUGAACAAAUACUAGAAGACCAUAUACGCAGCGAAAUAAAAUGGAAACACAAUCAAAUAGAACACCAAGAUAUACGUGGAAAAUCCCUUCAAUGUGAAGGGUAAAAACCACGGGGCAAACUAGAGAUAAUCCACUAUGAGAAUAAUGAAUAUACAAAUCUCAAUCUCUUACCCAAAACCCUAGCAAUAACCACAAGAGGAUAACUGGGAUACAAGGAUCACGUCACUGCCCACAAUAUCUAAAACCUCCCCAAGUAAUCACAGCAAGAGUCUACUGUAGAUUUGAUCUAACCUGAGAUGAGAACACUGCUAGAUGAUUGAGAACAGUCUCUCUGCGUUGUCCUUGUCUUCUUCCCUUUCUUUCUCUUAUUUUUCUACCUUGUUCUUCUCUCUUUGUUGUUACGAGGAUGUCAACGUUGCUGCCCACGUUGCUGCUUGUAAAACGCAGCCCCCACACCCCCCUUAUAUUGAUCUAGGGUUAGGUCAAAGGGGUGUGGGUUGUGGGCUGAAUCCACUUUGGGCUGCCAGCCCAACAACCUCCUCCUUCAGCCCAUAAGGGAGGUUGUCCCAUGACUCCUCAAUGUGAAGCCAUGCCGACCAACUGUCGGCAUAUCUCCUGUCUUUCUUUUGGUAAGGUCUUCGUCAACAUGACUGCUCCGUUGUCAUCUGUAUGAAUUUUCUGAAGCUGCAACUACUUCUCUUCAAAUACAUUUCGAAUCCAGUGGUAUCUAACAUCUAUAUUCUUUGACUUGGAAUGAAACAUUGGGUUCUUAUACAAAUGGAUGACACUCUGGCUGUCACAAUGCACCACAUAAUUUUCCUGUUUCAGCCCCAAUUCUUGUAAGAAUUCUUUCAUCCAUAAUAUUUCUUUGCAUACCUCUGUAGCAGCAAUAUAUUCUGCUUCUGUGGUAGAGAGAGCAAUACACCUUUGCAACCUGGAUUGCUAUGACACAGCUCCCCCUGUAAAAGUAAGUACAUAACCUGAAGUAGACUUCCUCGUAUCUAUAUCUCUUGUCAUAUCUGCAUCUUUGUAACCUGUCAACAUAGGUGGUCUACCUCCAAAGCUUAAAUAAACCUUAGAGCUCCCUUUGAGAUAUCUAAAAAUCCACUUCACUGCUGCCUAGUGCUCUUUGCUUGGAUUUGCAAGAAAUCUGCUAGUAACACCCACUGCAUAUGCGAUGUCUGGCCUUGUACAUACCAUUGCAUACAUUAAACUCCCAACUGUUGAAGCAUAAGGAACCUUUUGCAUUUUCUCCUUCUCCUCAUCACUUGAUGGGCUCUGUUCUGAGCACAACUUGAAGUGACUUGCAAGAGGAGAACCAACUGGUUUUGCAUUGCUCAUACUGAAUCUUUCCAAUACCUUCUCGAUGUAUUUCUUCUGUGACAACCAAAUCUUCUUGUUUUUUCUGUCACGAGAAAUCUGCAUGCCUAGUAUUUGCUUUGCUGGCCCCAUGUCCUUCAUUGCAAAAGACUCACUCAGUUCCUUCUUUAACCUGUCAAUUUUAGACAUAUCUUUCCUAAGAAUAAGUAUGUCAUCAACAUAAAGUAAGAGAAUAAUAAAAUCCUCACCAAACCAUUUGAUGUACACACAAUGAUAUGAAGUCGUUCUUUUAUAUCCAUUUUCUGUCAUAAAUGAAUCAAACUUUCUGUACCACUGUCUUGGAGCUUGCUUUAGCCCAUACAAGCUCUUCUUCAACUUGUAGACAAGAUUAUCUUUACCUUUGACUUUGAAGCCUUCUGGUUGCUCCAUAUAAAUUUUCUCCUCUAAAUCACCAUGAAGGAAAGCUGUCUUCACAUCUAACUGCUCAACCUCUAAGUCCUGGCUAGCAACAAUACCAAGAGCAAUACGAAUAGAAGACAUUUUAACAACAGGAGAAAAUAUCUCUUCAAAGUCAAUACAUUUCUUUUGACCAAAGCCUUUCACAACCAAUCUAGCUUUGUACUUUGGUUGAGAACAAUAUUCUUGAGUCUUCAACCUAAAAACUCAUUUGUUCUUCAAGGCCUUCAUUCCAUUUGGUAGUAGCACCAAAUCAUAAGUGUGGUUCUUCUGAAGAGCAUCAAUCUCUUCCUGCAUAGCAACUAACCACUUCUCUUUCUGCUCACUCUCAACUGCUUCCUGGUAACUUUCUGGUUCACCUGCAUCAGUAAGCAUCACAUACUCAUUUGUAGAGUAUCUUCUGGAAGGUUGACGUUGUCUAGAAGAUCUUCUCAACUGAGGUUCUGCGGGAACUUGCUCUCCUACUUCUUCUUGCUCAACAUGUCCUACAGGUAAAUCAACAUCAGGCUCUACACUAUUUUCCUGCACAUCUCCCCCAUCACCCUGAUAUACUGGAGGAAUAACUAGGUCACAAUCUGCUAAUCGUUCUGCAGAAGUCUUGGCUAGUGCCUUCUUCUUCAAAUCCUCAAAGGUUUGAUCCUCAAAGAAGACCGCAGCUCUGCUCCUGAACACCUUCUGCUUUUCUGGAUCCCAAAGCCUAUAACCAAACUGAUCAUGUGAGUAACCAAGAAAAAUACAUUCUUUAGACUUACCAUCCAGCUUGGACCUCUCAUUAUCUGGAAUAUGUGCAAAUGCACGACAACCAAACACUCUCAAAUGCCUAUAGGAAACAUCUUUCCUUGACCAUACAUGCUCUGCAACAUCACCAUCUAGGGUUGUACAUGGUGAUAAGUUGAUCACAUCAACUGCAGUCCUCAAAGCCUCAUCCCGAAACCUUUUGGGUAGCUUGGCCUGUGAAAGCAUACAUCUGAUCUUUUCCAUGAUGGUGCGGUUCAUCCUCUCUGCAAUUGCAUUAUGCUGAGGUGUACCAGGAACUGUCAUCUCAUGUUGGAUCCCAUGUGACCUGCAAUAGUCAUUAAACAAUCCCGUAUACUCACCACCAUUAUAUGAUCUUAUGCAUUUCAAUUUCCUUUCUGUCUCCCUUUCAACCCUGGCAUGAAACUCUUUGAAGACAUUAAUAACCUGAUCUUUGGUCUUCAAAGCAUAAGCCCAAACUUUCCUGGAAAAAUCAUCUAUAAAAGUGACAAAAUAAAGUGCACCACUUAUACCAAGAACAUCAACAGAUCCACCAGGAGUUUUUGUCCUCAAAGGACCACAUACAUCUAUAUAAACACGGUCUAAGGCAUGCAUUUUUCUAGACAAAGCAGCAUUAGCAAAUGAAACUCUAUGUUGUUUACCAGCCAAACAAUCAAUACAAGGGUUCAGAUGUAUACCUCUGAGAUCUGGCAAUACCUCUCUCUUGGAAANNNNNNNNNNNNNNNNNNNNCUAUACCUGUAUGUAGCAAAAAACUCUCUCCGAGGUGUAGCAUGAUAAGAAGCACCUAUGUCAAUCACCCACUCAAGAUCCUGACACACACAAGAAAAAAUAUCAUCAGAAUGAGACAAAAUCAAAUAAUCACCACCCUGCACUGUAGCUAUAGUAUUAUCCUUUGACUCUGUAGACUCCACUUCUUUUUCCUUUUUCUUGUUCUUCUUAGGUUGCUUACAUUGGUUCUUGUAAUGUCCUUUCUCACCACAGUUAUAGCAAACAAUAUCUUUUCUUGAUCUUGACUUGCUCCUACCCAUACGUGAAUUGCUUAUAGACUUUGACCUUCCUCUGUUCUCUGAGAUAAGUGCCUGUGAAUCAUUCUGAGAUGUUGCUGAACUCUUUCUUCUCAACUCCUUAUUCAACAAACUGCUUGUUACUUGACUCAUAGUGACAAUACCAUCUGGCGCAGAAUUACUAAAGGAAACCACCAGUGUCUCCUAACUUUCUGGUAAUGAACUGAGAAGUAACAAUGCCUGCAACUCAUCAUCAAGAGACAUUUUCAUAGAGGAUAACUGGUUAGUAAUACUUUGCAUUUCAUUCAAAUGCUCAGCAAUAGAAGCACCCUCUCUAUAUUUUAGGUUCACAAGUUUUCUGAUCAAAAAAGCUUUGUUGCCAAUUGUUUUUCUUUCAUAGAGACUUUCCAAUUUUUUCCAAAGAGAAUAUGCAGAAAUUGCAGUAGAAACAUGGUGAAAGACACUAUCAUCAAGCCACUGUCUAAUAAACCUAAUUGUUUUUCGAUCUAACCUCUUCCACUCAUCAUCUGUCAUAGUUGUAGGUUUUGCACUAUCCCCUUGCAAAGGUCCAUUCAAAUCUUUGCAAUACAAGAGAUCUUCCAUUCUUGGUUUCCAUAUCAUCCAAUUAUUUUCAUUCAAACUAAUCAUGCGAGAAACAUUACUGGCCUUCAUGUUCAAAUACAAAAAUUAAAUUACCAAAAUCCCGCUCUGAUACCAGUUGAUGGGGAUAUAAAGAGGAAUAACCUUUGUAUAUGAACAAAUACUAGAAGACCAUAAUACGCAGCGGAAUAAAAUGGAAACACAAUCAAACAGAACACCAAGAUAUACGUGGAAAACCCCUUCAAUGUGAAGGGUAAAAACCACGGGGCAAACUAGAGAUAAUCCACUAUGAGAAUAAUGAAUAUACAAAUCUCAAUCUCUUACCCAAAACCCUAGCAACAACCACAAGAGGAUAACUGGGAUACAAGGAUCACGUCACUGCCCACAAUAUUUAAAACAUCCCCAAGUAAUCACAGCAAGAGUCUACUGUAGAUUUGAUCUAACCUGAGAUGAGAACACUACUAGAUGAUUGAGAACAGUCUCUCUGCGUUGUCCUUAUCUUCUUCCCUUUCUUUCUCUUGUUUUUUUGCCUUGUUCUUCUCUCUUUGUUGCUACGAGGAUGUCAACGUUGCUGCCCACGUUGCUGCCUUUUUCUGCCUCUUUUCUGCUUGUAAAACGUAGCCCCCACACCCCCCUUAUAUUGAUCUAGGGUUAAGUCAAAGGGGUGUGGGUUGUGGGCUGAUAAAGCCCGGGCUGAACCCACUUUGUGCUGGCAGCCCAACAACGUUACAUGUGAAUCACGCCUACAUAAUCCUUGACCUACCAAAGGUGUGGUUGAUUGUCAAAGUUCAUCAUUAUUAUGUAAGGUAUAUAUUUUUUAAGCAGAUCGUCAAAUGCCAGCGCAUGCCGUGUUAUAUUUCAAAGUGCAUAGAUGACCCAAUCCGUGUGUAAUGUCUCCUACUUAGUUGUCCCCUCACGCAAUGCAUUUCUUUAUGAGUAUACGUAUACUUCCACCUGAUCACAACAUCCAUAUUAAAGCUUAUGUAGGUGCAGCGAAAUUAGUUAUUCGUCGAUAAAUAGGAGAAAAAUGGCUAACAAGUCUUAUUAAAACCAUUAAUUAAGAAUUUAGAGAAGAGAUAGUAUCAUAUUUGAUUUCACAUUGAUCAGAGACUUAGGGAAUCAAUACCUAAUACCUAAUAAAGAGUCAAAUACAAAUUUUCUUUUUUUGACAGACAACUUUUGGGAUCCACCUUAAAAAAGGAAAGAUCAUGUGGUUCCGCUUAACAAUUUAUGAUUCAAAAGAGCUCGUGAUUGACCUUUUAUUCAAUGGGGUGAAUAAGUUUGUGAAAAUAAGAAUAUUAUUUGGAUAAAAAUAAAUAGUAAAAAAAUGAUCAAAUGGUGUGUGGACACGUGGCAUAUUCAUCAAUGUUUAAAGCAGCAGAUCGCACGAGUAGUAACAACUACCAAAGCACUCUCCACGAUGAGAAAGGGCGGCGGGGGCGGGGAAGUGACACGAUGUGAAAGAAUCAUAGAGGCGGCUCUCCUCUCUACCCUCCUUUCUCUUCUCCCUGCCACACGUCCUCCUCUUUAAUCGCAGAUUCGUGGACGAUCGAGUCCGGCGGCGACGAGCGCGAUGUGAGUUUGAGUCUCGUCUCUUGAGUGCAGUCAGAUUUCUGCACACAGAUCGAGAUCGGAAGAAAGAUUUUUUUGAUUUAACUCUUUCGAUGCCGAUCAGGGGGUUAGCUUUUAUACUUGCAAAUAAGGGUCGAUCGUACGUGAUCUGUUAAUAGUGGCCAACUCCUCGAGCGAUCGGUUUGUACCUCUUGUGCGAGCGUCGAUCGACCUACAUUGAUCCACAUUGUGUGACAUCGUUCCGAGCUUUCCGGAGUGGCUUUGUGCUAUGUAGCGUUGUCUCGUACGACCUCGGACAGUAUGAGAACAUGCGAUCGUCCUAUCCGAGUACGAGAUGUCACGUCGAUGCAAUGCAUCAUAUCAACCCUGAGGCUCCAUGUUGGCGCUGAUUGAUAGCAUAUAAGACAUCAUAUCAACCUUUGCCCUAUGAUCGAGGAAACGAAACCUAGUCUUAUGGUAUCUUUUUCCCCUCCGUUUAAAUUCACUUCUUCCCUUUGAUCACGCGUGUAAAAGAAGCUUAACCGGAGGAAUGUAAGAGUUGUCUCACGUUUUUGAGCUUUUUGUACCGUAACCUAAUAAGUUCUCUUGAUUUUAGAGUGAAUUAGGCAUUGCAUUUGGUUGAUAUGUAUGCAACUAAGUACAUCUGUACGUACAGCAGCAACUCAAGUGGAUAUGUGUUAUUUUCAGUUCCCAUCAAAACUUUGAAUAGUCGAUUUUAGUUUUUUUUUUAAAUAUGUAGCCAAAGAAAGUCCCUUUCACGGAAUCUUCCUUCGGCAUGCUGCAGUUGAUUAUAAAUCGAUCGUAAAAUAUAUAUUAAAAUGAUUUGAGGUUAAUAACCCAAGCAUAUAUUGAAUAAUAAUUUAUUGAUAAAAUUGUGUAUUAUUCGAUUGAAAGGAAACCGAAGGCAUGAUAAGUUUUUGUCUUAUGUUUGUUGUAUCAUCAAAAGACAUGAACCAAAAUACGGUUCACUGCUUCAACAUGAUCUUCGGUUUACAGAUGAAAGGCUAUAUUGUUCUUCAGCUUGAUGUUCCUGAUGGUCCAAAGUGAACUUGCUAAAAGAAAAAACACUCGUCAUGAUCACGAUGGAAUAAUAUUUCAAACUCUCAAUUUUUAAUAUAAAAUUGUAUGUAUCCAAGAGCUGGUUGGAGAAUUGUAUAUGAUAUGUCUAUAGUUCUCCGAGUUCUGAUAUUUUCGAAGUUUGUUUCAAUAGGUUUUUAUUCAUAAUAUUAAUAAACGAGAUCGAAUAAUUCUUUUUAUUUUAGCCUUAUUAUUUAUUCUGCAGACGUAAAGCAAGUUAAACAUUGUUAGCUCUUAUUUAAAUGCUGUAGCUUUCAUUAUCGUGUCUCGGAUCACGCGAUGGAAGUGAGACGGACGUCGUUAUGGUACAUGACGUAGACGUCGAAGGCGGCGACGAGUCCCGCAUCGUCGGACGUCACCAGCUUGCUCACCAUGUUCCCCGACGCGAACUGGAACACCCCCGUCCCUCCCACGAUGGCCCGGUCCGCCUUCCCGGACGCGUCCAUCCUCCCGAUCACCGUGAGCGUGCUGUCGCAGAAGUUUCCCCCCGUGAACACCAGCACCAGCGGUAUCAGCGACGACUCGUCCCGCUGCGACACGUGGAAGCUCACGCCCUGCGCCCUUCCGAAUUCAGUCGACCACUUGGAGGGGCCGAUCCUCAGCACGGCGUCGAAGAUGUCGACGUCUCCGAAGGUGUAGGGGAGGCUCAUGUUCACCACCGUGACGGUGCCGUUGUCGGGGCCGAGAAACGUCUCGUAGAAGUAGACGCGGAAGUGGAUUCUCUUAUGGAUGCCGAGUUCGAACUCGGAGGUGACGGGGAAGGCCGUGACAGCAUCAAGGAGGGGGGAAGAAGACGAGGAGGAAGUAGAGAUGAGAGGAGCUGCGUGGGGAUGAAGCCAUGAC